AUAGUAGUGUCAGAGUUUGAUCCUGGCUCAGGACGAACGCUGGCGGCGUGCCUAACACAUGCAAGUCGAGCGAAGGAUAUAUGAGGAAAUCUUCGGAUGGAAUCAUAUAAACUUAGCGGCGGACGGGUGAGUAACGCGUGAGGAACCUGCCUUGCACAAGGGGAUAGCCUCGGGAAACCGGGAUUAGUACCCUAUAUGCUCACGAGAGGCGCCUGCCUUGGUGAGGAAAGAUUUAUCACUGACAGAUGGACAUGCGUCCCAUUAGCUGGUUGGUAGGGUAACGGCCUACCAAGGCAACGAUGGGUAGGGGAACUGAGAGGUUUAUCCCCCACAUUGGUACUGAGACACGGACCAA
rnacentral:rRNA from 1 species